UCAUCCCUUGCACGGAUAAAAUGAGUAUAUAUAAACAUUAUUAUAUAAUGUUAUUAUUAUCAAAUAAUUAUUAAUUUAUAAGAAAAACUAAUUAUGUUUUUUCUAUUUUAAGUCGAACUUUUUCCUCUAAAGUUCCUCUAAAUAUAUCUACGAUUGGAAUUUUGGCUCCAUAACCCCAAAGUGAAGUGCCGCCCAAAUAUCCAUUGGAAUUUGCCCUAAUUUACACACUUCAGAGAAUAGGCGAAUCGAUCUGCACACCAUGAAGCCGCCGGCGAUUCGAUCCGCAGACUGUGAAUCAGCGUCGCUUUUCUUCUGGUUCAGGGGGACAAAUUUAAUUUUCUGAAGCAUAAAAGAGAAAGAAGUUCCUCAUUGUUUCACAACAGAUGUCGAACUUUUUCCUCUAAAGUUCCUCUAAAUAUAUCUACGAUUGGAAUUUUGGCUCCAUAACCCCAAAGUGAAGUGCCGCCCAAAUAUCCAUUGGAAUUUGCCCUAAUUUACACACUUCAGAGAAUAGGCGAAUCGAUCUGCACACCAUGAAGCCGCCGGCGAUUCGAUCCGCAGACUGUGAAUCAGCGUCGCUUUUCUUCUGGUUCAGGGGGACAAAUUUAAUUUUCUGAAGCAUAAAAGAGAAAGAAGGUGUUAGCUUCAAGAACCAUGUCAUACAGGCCUUUGAUUCCUUCUUAUAUUCAGAUAUGUAAAACUAGCAGAGGAAAGAGCUAAAGAAUGAUAAAAUGCAAGCCUAAGGAUAAUGAUCAACUUCCUGAAGUUUUGUGAGUUGCACUGCAAGUAUAUACCGACUUUCUCAUGAGUGUUUUGGAAAUACUGAAUGCAAUACUGAUAAACGUGUUGUCAAGGAACCGAAAGAAUAAUAUUUAAGGAACAAAUGAAGGGCUAUCUUCAAAAGAUGGAAGUGCUUCCGUGGAUUAAUUUGUGGCUGUGACAAACAAAGAGCAUACGGACACCGUUGACUUUAUGGUAGAGGCGUUAUUAACAAAUCGAUAAAAAAAGUGGAUGGUUGUGAUAUACCUACCAUACAUGAUUCCAAGGGACUUAUGGAAUCACUCAAAGCUAGUGUCGAAGUUAAAACAAUUAUUUGCAUGAAAUGCGAAAAGAUAUUAAAGAGGAUCGUGAAAGGAAAAAACGCCGAGCAUGAAAUGCGAAAAGAUAUUAAAGAGGAUCGUGAAAGGAAAAAACGCCAAGUUAGAAGCCACAUGGAAAUAUAAUUGACAACCCAUAAGAAAACACUCAAGCAACUACCUUUUAGAGGUGGAGAGUUUUGAACAUGUGUAGAAGGUUUUUGUUACUCUUAAUUAAUUGUAAUUGACAACUUUGUGUUGAAUACAUUAUUUUGAGUUUGAACAUAUAUGUUAAAGUACAUAAAGAUUCUUUAUAA